CCUACGGGCGGCUGCAGUGGGGAAUUUUCCGCAAUGGGCGAAAGCCUGACGGAGCAAUACCGCGUGAGGGACGAAGGCCUGUGGGUUGUAAACCUCUUUUCUCAGGGAAGAAGAUCUGACGGUACCUGAGGAAUCAGCAUCGGCUAACUCCGUGCCAGCAGCCGCGGUAAGACGGAGGAUGCAAGCGUUAUCCGGAAUUAUUGGGCGUAAAGCGUCCGCAGGCGGUUUCGUAAGUCUGUCUUUAAAGAGUGGAGCUUAACUCCAUAAAGGGGAUGGAAACUGCGAGACUAGAGGUAGGUAGGGGUAGAAGGAAUUCCCAGUGUAGCGGUGAAAUGCGUAGAUAUUGGGAAGAACACCAGCAGCGAAGGCGUUCUACUGGACCAAACCUGACGCUCAUGGACGAAAGCUAGGGGAGCGAAAGGGAUUAGAUACCCAAGUAGUC
rnacentral:rRNA from 1 species